GGGGGAGUAGUUAAUAUUAACAUUUAAUUUGCAAUUAAAAAAUAUCAAUUUAAACCAAUUGAUCUUCCUCA
rnacentral:tRNA from 1 species